rnacentral:rRNA from 1 species
AGUGAACGCUGGCGGUAGGCCUAACACAUGCAAGUCGAACGGCAGCACAGUAAGAGCUUGCUCUUACGGGUGGCGAGUGGCGGACGGGUGAGGAAUACAUCGGAAUCUACUUUUUCGUGGGGGAUAACGUAGGGAAACUUACGCUAAUACCGCAUACGACCGACGGGUGAAAGCAGGGGAUCUUCGGACCUUGCGCGAUUGAAUGAGCCGAUGUCGGAUUAGCUAGUUGGCGGGGUAAAGGCCCACCAAGGCGACGAUCCGUAGCUGGUCUGAGAGGAUGAUCAGCCACACUGGAACUGAGACACGGUCCAGACUCCUACGGGAGGCAGCAGUGGGGAAUAUUGGACAAUGGGCGCAAGCCUGAUCCAGCCAUACCGCGUGAGUGAUGAAGGCCUUCGGGUUGUAAAGCCCUUUUGUUGGGAAAGAAAAGCAGCAGGUUAAUACCCCGCUGUUCUGACGGUACCCAAAGAAUAAGCACCGGCUAACUUCGUG